UUACAGGCUUAGGUUUUGGUUUGCAUACAUAGUAGAUGAAGCAGUUUUUUCAUACUUUAAACAAACAAGUAAUAAUUCCGACCAAAAUGAAGGUAGUGAUUUAAGUGCUGAACAGAGAAAAUUCAGUAAAAUUCUGCUCUCAGAGGCCUCAUGGACUAGUUGUGUCGAUAGGCAAUUUCAACAUGAGAUCAUUGGAGAGGAAUAUAUCAUGUUCACUGGAAGAAGGCAAAAGAAUGUAACGACUGGAGGAAGCUUAGCAGGCAUUCAACGUUGUAUAAACUGAUUCUCUAAGCUUUUUGGAGGAGGGUUUCUGAAUGCACGGCAUUGCUUCAACAAAGGUCAACACAUGAGGACCACAUCGGUGGUAUACCUUGUCCUCCAGAUUCCAAUUGGGUUUUGCAAAUGGCGGAAAGGAGAAGAAUGAGAAUCACAACUGGCGGUGCCUACAAGGUACAUCCCAGCUUGCUGGAAAAUUUUUUUUUCACAAGACCAGAUGAGGAACUGGGACCCAGGGUGAUGAGGAGACUUUCCCAGUCAGCAUUACAAAUCCAAGACAAGAAGGCUGGUCUCCUGUCUUCUCAUCUGGUGAGCUGUCCCAUCACUCCGCUGCCUUCAGGGCUAGCCCCUCUCUCAAGCCACUCUCCUCUCCAUUCUUUCCCAAAGCCAUAGAGGGAGAUCUAUCUUCUGCGUGUGGAGGGAAGAGAGUGUGAGGGGAAGUGUUCCUCGUGGGAGCUAUGGUGGCUGUGGGAAAGUGAACAAGGCUCUAAAGGAGAAGCUGUUUCCUUGCUGUUUUCAGCUUUGAGAGGCUGCCUGCAUUCUUCCGCCGUGACUCCUCCUUCCAUCUUGAAACCCAGCAGCAUAGCAUCUACAAAUCUCUCUCACCUCUGAUUCCAAGGGAUAAGGAUAUCACCUACCUUGUUGGGUUGCUGAGAUAACUGGAUGAGUUAACGUACAACAGUGCCUGGAAUGUAGUGAGCACGGAAUAACAGAGGAGAUUUUUACCCUCCUAUUGCAAGAAGUUUAAUCUUCAUACAAGGUGAUGGGUUGAUACAUAAAUUGAGAGUGAAGUCAAGAUCUCCUCACUUCCUGAGAGGUAUUAAGUUUCUGGCUAGACUUUGACUGGAGCUGUGUCUACCACAGACCACGCCUCCAAAUGUUGCUGCUGACCAAGUCCCCAAAUGAAAAGGAAACCUCAAGGCAAGAACCAUUCAUAUAACAAUUCAUUCAGCCAUUAUCUGGUGAGCAUCCAUCAUGUGCCAGGUGAUAUAGUAAACACCAGAACUACAGGGAAGACCAGGUGCAGUCCCCACCUGCAAAGAUCUGAAGAUCAAGUGGAGAAGACGAGAAGUAAGUAUUUUGGGAAAUUGGGUCUAUGUGCUCAUCAAAGGCCAAGUCAACUAGGCUUGAUCCGUGUCUUCCCCAAGAGGCAGCAAGGAGAAGCAGCCAAGGGAAGCAGGAGAGGCUCAGUAUCCUCUUUUGGAUGCUGCCCCUAAGAACAAACCCCUCCCACGUUUUCUACCUUACGCAGAAGAAAAUCUGAGCAACACAGUCUCAUGUGUUUCCUGUGUAUCCCAUAGGGGUAUGGUCCAGUCUCUCUCUCUCUGGAAAAGGCUACAUUUUUCUCUUAGAUUAAAGUCGCCACUUCGGAAACCCAUUUUAUUUUUGAGGACGAUUAGCCCUGAGCUAACAUCUGCCACAAAUCCUCCUCUUUUUGCAGAGGAAGAUUGGCUCUGAGCUAACAUCUGUGCUCAUCUUUGUCUAUUUAAUAUGUGGGAUGCAUGCCACAGCAUGGCUUUGUAAGGGAUGCGUAGGUCCGCAACCGGGAUAUGAACCAGUGAACCCUGGGCUGCUGAAACAGACUGCUCGAAUUUAACCACUAUGCCACCGGACUGGCCCCUGGAAAACCUUUUGAAAUUCCCUACUUUUAAAACUACACACAUGUCUAGCCUAUGACCUUGUAUUUCCAUUCCAUAGAUAAAUGGGUAUCUUUGUCUACCAAAUGAGAAGAAUAAGAAUUUCAUAGAAGUCUUAUUCAUAAUAGCUAAAAACUAGAACCCAAACAUCUGUCUACAGUAGAAUGGAUAAAUUGCAGAAUAUUAAUAAAGGGGAAUUCCAUGCAACAAUAAAAGAGAAUAUCUGCCAUAAGCAACAGCACAGUUGGACCUCACAGACAUAGUAACGAACGAGUGAAAGAAGCUAGCCACAGAAGAGUACACACACUGUAUGAUUCAAUUAUGUGAAAUUCAGGAACAGGAGAAACUCAACUGCGGUGGCAAAAAGCAGAAUAUUGGUUACCUGAUUUGGGGGGUCAGGCAGGGCCAGUAGGUAAGAACUUAGGAAGGGGCACAAAGGAUCCCUCUGGGGUGUUGAAAAUAUUCCAUAUAUAUGUAAAAAUCCAUUGAUUUCUGCACUUAAGAUUUGUGUAUGGAUCUACACUUCAAUAAACCUUUUUUAUAAAUGAUCAUUGACUCUUUCCUCCCAACAGCUGGAAAUUGCUAGAAUUAUGUAUACGGUGGUGUUUCAGUCUACUGCUCUUUCCCUUAGCAGCCACCCACUUUGGGUUCUCCAUGUUUUUUUCAUAAGGGAGUCCCUCUUAGGAAAGCCGGUAUUUUGACCACAACAAAAUAUUUUGAAGUAAGAAUUGAAACACAAAUUUACAGAAACAUUUUAACAAAAAACCGUUUUCAUUAUACAUGCAAAUUCAGGACAGAUGUGGUCAGAGGAAUAACCCAAGUCCACCCACCACUAGAAGAAAAGUAAAACUUAAUAAGAAUUUUUGAAAUAUUGUAAUGAUUUUCUCCCUGGCUUCUAGUCAAGACUGCAACAGAAAUUCAGAAAUGCCACCAGAAAGGCCUCUCCGGGUACAUGUGACUAGAAUUCUCAGACAGUACUGAGUGGCUGGGGAAACCUCACAGAGCUUUGA
rnacentral:lncRNA from 1 species